rnacentral:rRNA from 1 species
UGAACGCUGGCGGCGUGCCUACUACAUGCAAGUCGAGCGAACAGACGCGGAGCUUGCUCCUCUGACGUUAGCGGCGGACGGGUGAGUAACACGUGGAUAACCUACCUAUAAGACUGGGAUAACUUCGGGAAACCGGAGCUAAUACCGGAUAAUAUAUUGAACCGCAUGGUUCAAUAGUGAAAGACGGUUUUGCUGUCACUUAUAGAUGGAUCCGCGCCGCAUUAGCUAGUUGGUAAGGUAACGGCUUACCAAGGCAACGAUGCGUAGCCGACCUGAGAGGGUGAUCGGCCACACUGGAACUGAGACACGGUCCAGACUCCUACGGGAGGCAGCAGUAGGGAAUCUUCCGCAAUGGGCGAAAGCUUGACGGAGCAACGCCGCGUGAGUGAUGAAGGUCUUCGGAUCGUAAAACUCUGUUAUUAGGGAAGAACAAAUGUGUAAGUAACUAUGCACGUCUUGACGGUACCUAAUCAGAAAGCCACGGCUAACUACGUG